UCUGUCUGGUCAGUCUCACUGGAGGAAAGAGGAGAGCAGGGACUGUGAGAGGUGGUCCAUCUGUCUGGUCAGUCUCACUGGAGGAAAGAGGAGUGCAGGGACUGUGAGAGGUGGUCCCUCUGUCUGGUCAGUCUCACUGGAGGAAAGAGGAGAGCAGGGACUGUGAGAGGUGGACCCUCUGUCUGGUCAGUCUCACUGGAGGAAAGAGGAGAGCAGGGACUGUGAGAGGUGGACCCUCUGUCUGGUCAGUCUCACUGGAGGAAAGAGGAGUGCAGGGACUGUGAGAGGUGGACCCUCUGUCUCGUCAGUCUCACUGGAGGAAAGAGGAGAGCAGGGACUGUGAGAGGUGGUCCCUCUGUCUGGUCAGUCUCACUGGAGGAAAGAGGAGAGCAGGGACUGUGAGAGGUGGUCCCUCUGUCUGGUCAGUCUCACUGGAGGAAAGAGGAGAGCAGGGACUGUGAGAGGUGGUCCAUCUGUCUGGUCAGUCUCACUGGAGGAAAGAGGAGUGCAGGGACUGUGAGAGGUGGUCCCUCUGUCUGGUCAGUCUCACUGGAGGAAAGAGGAGAGCAGGGACUGUGAGAGGUGGACCCUCUGUCUGGUCAGUCUCACUGGAGGAAAGAGGAGUGCAGGGACUGUGAGAGGUGGUCCCUCUGUCUGGUCAGUCUCACUGGAGGAAAGAGGAGAGCAGGGACUGUGAGAGGUGGUCCCUCUGUCUGGUCAGUCUCACUGGAGGAAAGAGGAGUGCAGGGACUGUGAGAGGUGGUCCCUCUGUCUGGUCAGUCUCACUGGAGGAAAGAGGAGAGCAGGGACUGUGAGAGGUGGACCCUCUGUCUGGUCAGUCUCACUGGAGGAAAGAGGAGUGCAGGGACUGUGAGAGGUGGACCCUCUGUCUCGUCAGUCUCACUGGAGGAAAGAGGAGAGCAGGGACUGUGAGAGGUGGGACCCUCUGUCUGGUCAGUCUCACUGGAGGAAAAAGGAGAGCAGGGACUGUGAGAGGUGGACCCUCUGUCUGGUCAGUCUCACUGGAGGAAAGAGGAGAGUAGGGACUGUGAGAGGUGGUCCCUCUGUCUGGUCAGUCUCACUGGAGGAAAGAGGAGAGCAGGGACUGUGAGAGGUGGUCCAUCUGUCUGGUCAGUCUCACUGGAGGAAAGAGGAGUGCAGGGACUGUGAGAGGUGGUCCCUCUGUCUGGUCAGUCUCACUGGAGGAAAGAGGAGAGCAGGGACUGUGAGAGGUGGUCCCUCUGUCUGGUCAGUCUCACUGGAGGAAAGAGGAGAGCAGGGACUGUGAGAGGUGGACCCUCUGUCUGGUCAGUCUCACUGGAGGAAAGAGGAGAGCAGGGACUGUGAGAGGUGGACCCUCUGUCUGGUCAGUCUCACUGGAGGAAAGAGGAGAGCAGGGACUGUGAGAGGUGGACCCUCUGUCUGUCUGGUCAGUCUCACUGGAGGAAAAAGGAGAGCAGGGACUG